rnacentral:rRNA from 1 species
UUUUCGCAAUGCCCGAAAGGGUGACGAAGCGACGCCGCGUGGGUGAAGAAGGCCUUCGGGUUGUAAAACCCUGUCAGGAGUUAUGAAAUGUAAGUACGCUAAUAUCGUGCUUAUUUGACAAAGGCUCCAAAGGAAGCCACGGCUAACUCUGUGCCAGCAGCCGCGGUAAUACAGAGGUGGCAAGCGUUGUUCGGAAUUAUUGGGCGUAAAGAGCACGUAGGUGGGUUUGUAAGUCAGAUGUGAAAGCCUUCUGUUCAACGGAAGAAUUGCAUCUGAAACUACUAAUCUUGAGUAUAGGAGGGGAGAAUGGAACUUCUGGUGGAGCGGUGAAAUGCGUAGAUAUCAGAAGGAACGCCGGCGGCGAAAGCGAUUCUCUGGCCUAUUACUGACACUCAGUGUGCGAAAGCUAGGGGAGCAAACGGGAUUAGAUACCCCGGUAGUCCUAGCCGUAAACGAUGGGCACUAAGUAGAGGGGUUUUAAUC